AGGGAAUCUUCCACAAUGGACGCAAGUCUGAUGGAGCAACGCCGCGUGAGUGAAGAAGGCUUUCGGGUCGUAAAACUCUGUUAUUGAAGAAGAACGUGUGUGACAGUAACUGGUCAUGCAGUGACGGUAUUCAAUUAGAAAGUCACGGCUAACUACGUGCCAGCAGCCGCGGUAAUACGUAGGUGGCAAGCGUUGUCCGGAUUUAUUGGGCGUAAAGCGAGUGCAGGCGGUCUUUUAAGUCUGAUGUGAAAGCCUUCGGCUUAACCGAAGAAGGGCAUCGGAAACUGGGAGACUUGAGUGCAGAAGAGGGGAGUGGAACUCCAUGUGUAGCGGUGAAAUGCGUAGAUAUAUGGAAGAACACCAGUGGCGAAGGCGGCUCUCUGGUCUGUAACUGACGCUGAGGCUCGAAAGCGUGGGUAGCAAACAGGAUUAGAUACCCUGGUAGUCCACGCCGUAAAACGAUGAAUACUAAGUGUUGGAGGGUUUCCGCCCUUCAGUGCUGCAGCUAACGCAUUAAGUAUUCCGCCUGGGGAGUACGACCGC
rnacentral:rRNA from 1 species